AACGCACAUUGCGCCCGCCAGUAUUCUGGCGGGCAUGCCUGUUCGAGCGUCAUUUCAACCCUCAAGCCCAGCUUGGUGUUGGGGAUCGGCACAGGCGCCCUCGGGCGCCCGCCGUCCCCUAAAUUUAGUGGCGGUCCCGCUGCAGCCUCCUCUGCGUAGUAGUUUUCUCCUCGCAAGGGCAGCUCGGUGGCGACCUCGCCGUAAAACCCCCAACUUCUGAAAGGUUGACCUCGAAUCAGGUAGGAAUACCCGCUGAACUUAA
rnacentral:misc_RNA from 1 species